rnacentral:rRNA from 1 species
UACGGAGGGUGCAAGCGUUAUUCGGAAUUACUGGGCGUAAAGCGCACGUAGGCGGCUUUGUAAGUAAGAGGUGAAAGCCCAGAGCUCAACUCUGGAAUUGCCUUUUAGACUGCAUCGCUUGAAUCAUGGAGAGGUCAGUGGAAUUCCGAGUGUAGAGGUGAAAUUCGUAGAUAUUCGGAAGAACACCAGUGGCGAAGGCGGCUGACUGGACAUGUAUUGACGCUGAGGUGCGAAAGCGUGGGGAGCAAACAGG